AGUAGAGACAGGGUUUCACCAUGUUGGCCAGGAUGGUCUCAAUCUCUUGACCUUGUGAUCUGCCUGCCUCAACCUCCCAAAGUGCUGGAAUUACAAGUGUGAGCCACCGCGCCCAGCCCCAUUUCUUAUUUGGUCUGGCCAUCUUCUAAAGAGUUUGAACCUACUGAAGAACUAUCUUGACUGUCUUGAUGAGGGAGCUGAAGAAAUCCUUCACUGGAGUCUGAGCGGAAGUGGAAUCUAUUUUCCUUCUUCUUGAAUUUGGAAUGCUUUUGGCCAAGAGAAAGAGGUGGAAGUGAUGGUGUAACAGUUCCAAGUCUAGGCCUCAAGUUGCCUGUGGACUUCCACUCAGACUCUCAGAGCCCUGCUGGAGGAUGGAGAGACCACAUGGAACAGAGAAGGGUUAUCCCACCGAGGCCACCAUAGACCAGCCAGCCCUCAGCGUACAUGCCAGCUAAUUACAGAUGCAGGAGCAAACCCCUGGCCCAUACAUCAGUGAGUAGAUUAGCAUAGAUGCUCAGCAAACUCAGACUCAUUAGGCAAAAAGAAAUGUUUACUGUCCAUUACCACUAAGGUUGUCUCGUUGUUAAAGAGCAUUAUCAGUGUCAAUAGACAACUGAUAAAGCAUAUAUAAAGAAAAGAGAACAAUUUUUUUUGUUUGUUUGUUAGAUGGAGUUUCGCUCUUUCGCC
ensembl:lncRNA novel transcript, antisense to CCDC88A